AUCACCUGGGAAUCUUGUUAAGCUUGAAUUUGGUUGAGUAGGUCUGAGGUGGGGCCUGAGAUUCUGCAUUUCUAAUAAGGUCUCAUGGGAUGCAA
rnacentral:pre_miRNA from 1 species